GGGCCCGCACAAGCGGUGGAGUAUGUGGUUUAAUUCGAUGCAACGCGAAGAACCUUACCAGGGUUUGACAUCCUGCGAAUCUCUUGGAAACAGGAGAGUGCCUUCGGGAACGCAGUGACAGGUGGUGCAUGGCUGUCGUCAGCUCGUGUCGUGAGAUGUUGGGUUAAGUCCCGCAACGAGCGCAACCCACGUCUUUAGUUGCCAGCGGGUCAUGCCGGGAACUCUAGCGAAACUGCCGGUGCAAACCGAGAGGAAGGUGGGGAUGACGUCAAAUCAUCACGGCCCUUACAUCCUGGGCUACACACGUACUACAAUGCUACGGACAAAGGGCAGCAAGUUCGCGAGGACAAGCAAAUCCCAUAAACCGUGGCUCAGUUCAGAUCGUAGGCUGCAACUCGCCUACGUGAAGGCGGAAUCGCUAGUAAUCG
rnacentral:rRNA from 1 species